rnacentral:lncRNA from 1 species
GCUCUCAGCUUCUGUUCCUCAACCACGGCCGCCGCGUGGAUGCCGCUGCAUUCGGAGUCGUUUUGCCACUUGGUCCCAGCGCCAGGCUUCUCGGUCGGGAGUUGACCUCAGCCUUUCUGUGACCCAGUUCCUGGCACCCAGCAGGCGCUCGGUGGACGGAUGGGUGGCGGAAUGAAGGACACAGAGGCCACUGCGGGGUCUGGCCUCUAAGAGGCUUUUACGGCCUCCUCCGUCACUACCGGGCGAGUGAUUCAGCCUGCCUUUUUUUUUUUUUUUUUUUUUUGAGAUGGAGUCAAGCUCUGUCGCCCAGGCUGGAGUGCAGUGGCACGAUCUCGGCUCACUGCAACCUCCGCCUCCCAGGUUCAAGCGAUUUUCCUGCCUCAGCCUCCUGAGUAACUGGGAUUACAGGUGCCCGCCACCACGUCCGGCUAAUUUUUUUUCUAUUUUUAGUAGAGACGGGGGUUUCACUGUUUUGGCCAGGCUGGUCUCGAGCUCCUGAUCUCGUGAUCCGCCCGCUUCGGCCUUACAAAGUGCUGGGAUUACAAGCGUGAGCCACCGUGCCCGGCUCAUCCUGCUUUUGGUUUCAGGUCUCCAUGCCAGUGAAAUGUCACCUCAACUCCACCGUCCCUGGUGUCAGGCAAGCCCGAGGGACCCAAUUCUGCCUUUCUUCUGGAUUUUCCUAACCUGUUAAGAGUCUUGAAAGUCCUUAAACCACGGGAGACUAUCUGGCACAUGACACGGGAUGAGACUUGGUGGGGGUCCCACGGGGGACAGGUCCUUCCAGCGGUUCCUCUGCACCCAGCGCUGCACGGGCAUGGGGCGUGGGUAAUCAGCCUCCCGAAAGCCACGCGAGUCACGGUCCUGCCUGCGAAGAACUCCCAGGGCGACCUUGGGGCUGAGGAGUGGGCCUGCUUCGGCCUUCUGCUCUUCUGUUGUGUGGUGACCCUCACCAGAGGACAGCUUCAUGCUCUUGGACUUCCCAGCCUCAAGAACUGUAAGAAAUAAAUUUCUUUAUAAGUUGCCCAGUCUGUGGUAUUUGGUUAUAGCA